AGCUGACUGAUGCCGCCUCACUGUUCACAUCUCUUCUCAUGUGUCACUUUGCCAAGAAAGUGUCCCCUUACCUACUCAACUCAUCACGUCCCCCUACCGUAGCUCACAUAACACCACGUACCUCUCGCUUACAGCCUUAAUCACAUUUCACAUCCAGUUUUUGUCCAGCUAUUUCACACCUCCUUCUCUGGGAAGACUUCACUGAGAAUCCAAGCAAUUUCUGGAUCCCUUCUCUCCCCUGAACUUGUAAAGUGUUUAACAAGACAUAUGCGGAACUGCCGUAAGACCUCUCGAUGGCUGGUAUUGCUCCAUGUUGUGGGUCAGUUUGAGGUCUGUCCAACACAUCAUACUGUGGAGCCCAAUUGUGAGGCUGCAGGUCCCUGUCUUCUCACAAAGUUCACUGAAACAUAACAGUAGAGCCCAACCACACAAGCCCAAUUAAGGCCUCUGCAACUC